UACAGAGGCCAAGAGCGUUGUUCGGAUUUACUGGGCGUAAAGGGCGCGUAGGCGGCGAGGCGUGUCGGAUGUGAAAUCUCCGGGCUCAACCCGGAAAGUGCGUCCGAAACUACCUCGCUCGAGUCCGGGAGGGGGAAUCGGAACAUAGGGUGUAGCGGUGAAGUGCGUUGAUAUCCUAUAGAACACCGGUGGCGAAGGCGGAUUCCUUGAACGGUACUGACGCUGAGGCGCGAAAGUCGGGGGAGCAAAC
rnacentral:rRNA from 1 species